AACGAACGCUGGCGGCAUGCCUAACACAUGCAAGUCGAACGAGACCUUCGGGUCUAGUGGCGCACGGGUGCGUAACGCGUGGGAAUCUGCCCUUGGGUUCGGAAUAACUUCGGGAAACUGAAGCUAAUACCGGAUGAUGACGUAAGUCCAAAGAUUUAUCGCCCAAGGAUGAGCCCGCGUAGGAUUAGCUAGUUGGUGAGGUAAAGGCUCACCAAGGCGACGAUCCUUAGCUGGUCUGAGAGGAUGAUCAGCCACACUGGGACUGAGACACGGCCCAGACUCCUACGGGAGGCAGCAGUGGGGAAUAUUGGACAAUGGGCGAAAGCCUGAUCCAGCAAUGCCGCGUGAGUGAUGAAGGCCUUAGGGUUGUAAAGCUCUUUUACCCGGGAUGAUAAUGACAGUACCGGGGGAAUAAGCUCCGGCUAACUCCGUGCCAGCAGCCGCGGUAAUGUGACUACUG
rnacentral:rRNA from 1 species